AUAAUCCAUUCCCACAUUCAAUUUACAGAAUGUGAACAAGAAAGGAAAAACACAACUUCUUUGGCUCAAGAAUCCUUUAAUAACAGAAGACAAUCGACCGCAAACAAAAGGCAGGGUGACAGAAAGCCCAGCACCAGCCAAUGAAAAAAAAAAAGAAGGAAAAUCUUGUGUUGAUAAAUUGGCAAUAAAGAAAACCCAUACCACUCAUAGCACUAAACGGGGAUUAGAAUUAUAGAGUUUAGAGGAAACCAACAAAAACGCCCAAAGACUUGGUUGCGAAGAAUUCUAAUUAUCGCUCUCCUUAGAAAAGAAGUCAACCCCCAUCAACCUACCACCUUUCAUGGAGGAUUACAUAGGAAGGAGUAAAACCCAGAGGCUAGAAAAGAACAAAUAAAAAGAAAAAAAUGGAAAAUCUAAGAGAAACCCACAAAGCCCAGCAUAGAAAACGCAGCUCUGUCUCUUUUUCUAGGCCCACAAAAGCAAAAUGCCCAUAACCCUGCUGAGAGUUGACAGACCAACUAAACAAAACCAUGUAAAAUCUUGAAAAGCCAAAAGCAAAGCAGAACAAAACAACAGCUAACAAGAGAAGCGGCCACCCAGAAGGAAGAGAUAAAGCGAUGGUGUUUGUACCUUGAAGGAGGAGGUGAUGGUAGU
rnacentral:misc_RNA from 1 species